rnacentral:lncRNA from 1 species
GCUUCUUCACUGGCAGAUGGUGGUCUUAGGUACAUCUCAAUAAAACUAUGAACAAAGCUCCAUAAAGUCAGUUGUGACCAUCACUUGCAAAGAAAAAUACAAGCACAAUGGAGGAAAUAAUUGACAGAAUUUACUAUGGCAAUAAUGCCACAGUGCUAGGAAGAAUCUAGAGUCUAGAACUCACUUGUCAACUUGUGCUUCCUUUCCAUGGAAUACAUGAGAUGCAUGUUCAUCUUCUAAUUGCUGCAUUAGGGGAAUU